rnacentral:rRNA from 1 species
GACGAACGCUGACGGCGUGCCUAAUACAUGCAAGUCGAGCGCAGGAAACUGACGGAACUCUUCGGAGGGAAGGCAGUGGAAUGAGCGGCGGACGGGUGAGUAACACGUAAGGAACCUGCCUCAAGGAUUGGGAAAACUCCGAGAAAUCGGAGCUAAUACCGGAUAGUUCAACGGACCGCAUGGUCCGCUGAUGAAAGGCGCUUCGGCGUCACCUUGAGAUGGCCUUGCGGUGCAUUAGCUAGUUGGUGGGGUAACGGCCCACCAAGGCGACGAUGGAUAGCCGACCUGAGAGGGUGAUCGGCCACACGGGGACUGAGACAAGGCCCAGACUCCUACGGGAGGCAGCAGUAGGGAAUCUUCCACAAUGGACGAAAGUCUGAUGGAGCAACGCCGCGUGAGUGAUGAAGGUUUUCGGAUCGUAAAACUCUGUUGUAAGGGAAGAACACGUACGAGAGGGAAUGCUCGUACCUUGACGGUACCUUACGAGAAAGCCACGGCUAACUACGUGCCAGCCGCCGCGGUAA